rnacentral:rRNA from 1 species
GAUGAACGCUAGCGGCAUGCCUAAUACAUGCAAGCCGAACGGCAAGUUUGGUAGCAAUAUUGGACCUAGAGUGGCGCAAGGGUGCGUAACACGUAUGCAACCUGCCCGCGACAGGAGGAUAUCUCCCCGAAAGGGGAAUUAACCCUCCAUAACACCAUGAGAACGCAUCUGUUCAUGGGUAAACCGCAAUGGUUCGCGGAUGGGCAUGCGGUUGAUUAGCUAGUUGGCGAGGUAAAGGCCCACCAAGGCGGUGAUCAAUAGGGGUACUGAGAGGAAGGACACCGACACUGGGACUGGGACACGGGCCAGACUGCUGCGAGAGGCAGCAGUAGGGACUAUUAGGCAAUGGUUGUAAGACUGCACCAGCGAGGGCGUGUGCAGGAAGAAGGGAUUCUGGGACGCAAACUGCUUUUAAGUGUGGAUAAAAUACCAGUGCGCGGGAAAUUGAAGGUAACAGGGGAAUAAGCCACGGCUAACUACGUA